rnacentral:lncRNA from 1 species
CGCGGCCUGGUUGGGCUGCCGCGUCCAGAACGCGGCGUUUUUGGUGACGUCGCGCCCGGGAGGGAGUAGUUUGCUCCGGGGCGGCUCGAGCAGCCCGGUUUCACGUGGGCUGUGAACAGAAGCCUGACGUCCAGGCCGCGGCGCCAGACCAAGUCCUUUGGCCUUGCGAGCAGGCUUCGUGAUGGCGGGAGCAAAGCCGUGACUGACUGCGGCCCAUUGAGGCUUACCCCUUAUGGUCUCAGUGGGCCUGGGUCUCCUGACCUAAUGAAAGUGGGAGAAGUAAAAACGAUUGAAAAGAGAGGAAUACGCUGGAAGUUUAAGGAAGCUGAUAGGCAAAAGCAAACAGUAGGUGUUACAGAAGAGAGCAAGAAGAUAGAAGAUGAUUUUCCUCCUCCUCCUGUACCACGUUCUUCAUUUUGCAACUAACACAUAGUUGAGUAGGUCUAUGUAGUGCUUUAUUUUUUCUCUAAGUCCACUCUUGCUUGAUAGAACAGAAAAAGGGACAGCUUAAGAGCAGAGACAGCUAGAGGCAUGGUAACUAAAAAGGAAUCCAGUUGCUGUCCUUCCUAGAAGGUACUAGAAAGAAAGAUGUAAACUAAGUGAUGAUAUUGUGGGACAUUUGCCAAUUCAAACCAGAUUUCAAUGAUUAUGCUCAAUAAUAUAAAUAGGUGCUAGACUUCCAAUUUUGUAUGGCUGAGAAGUCCAGAAAAUUUGUUGCCAGCAUAUCAGAAAUGAAUACAAGUGAUUUAUAUUUCUUCUACUCAUGUACAUUGUAGCAAAUAGCACUCUAAAAAGUUCAAGGGUAAGACAGUGCAAACUAGUGACACAUUCAGGUAUGCCAUUGGUCUUAUCAUUGCUCUAGCAUCUCACAAGUGUCCUUAUUACAUCUAGGUAGUGUUUUCUUUCCUGGUCAGUUAUGGCCUUUAGAAUACAAAUGAACAUCAGUAGACGGAGUAAACUCAUGUUUUUUUGGUAAAACUUAAGGUUGUCCCUCCCACAAGAUAUGAAAAUAUCUUGUACAAAGCACUUGAUUCCUUACUGAUUUUAUUUAUAGUUGUUAAUAUCAUCCUACAUCCAAAUUACUCCUUCACAAGAAUCAUCAAACUAACUCUACACUUGUGUGAGCAUGAUGAUCACAUGUCCUUUCUCCCAUUGUCAUUUUUAAUGCACUUGGAGAAAACACAAAAGAUGAUUUGAAGUAUGAGACCUGUGGCAUAUAGUCUCAUCACAUUCACUUUCAUUCUGGAAGAUGAUUUUGAUUUGAGUCCUUAUUACUUUGUUACUAUUUCUUUUUUAUGGAAAUUGUCAUCGUUUUGGACUAAACUUAAGGAUUAAGUUUAGGCAUUUACAACUGAUUUUUAGGCAUUUACAACUGAUUUGUGGGAGAAGGUUUAAAUUUGAUUGCAGGGAGUCUGAAUGAAAAUUUCUUAUUACAAUUUUUAUGAAGUUUAUAUUUGAUUAUAAUUUUAAUGUCUUUAACCUUUAACAGCACAAGCCGCCGACAUAAGAAGCUUGUUUUACAUCAUGGGGUCAUUGAGUAGGUUGUAAAGUUUCAUUAGCACAAGCCUUGGGUAAAACUGGCGUAGGUGACAUUUGGCUUUGCUAUUCAUAACCUCAUCUUUUUUUGCUUUCUCUGAAACUUGGUACAGCUGGUAUUCCUUCUGGCCUUGAGCACCCCUGUGUGCUCUCUUUCCUUCUAUUGAUCCAUACUUGCUGCCUUAGGAAAUGUCUGAUUUCAGUUUUCAUCUCUUUGUAUGAAUUUAGGUCUAGGUGUUACUCAUAUUGUGGAGGCAAAAUUGAUUGAUUGGUCUCCUACUUAAAGUAUUUCAGGCAUCACUGAAGGUGGGAGAGGGGGCAGAGGGCCUUCCCAGUGACCCAGGGAUAAGGUCUGCCUUGAUGACAAGAAACUCAAGUAGUACAAGGGGGAAAAAAAUUUGAAAAGAAAGAAAUAUGAACUAAACUUAUCAAAUAUGAGUGAGUUUGGUAGAAUUGAAUUUUUCACUGAAUUUAUUGCACUAAAAUUGGCAGGCUGAAAGUCAGAUUCUGAUUUAUCUCUUUCCUGUUACAGACACUAAUUUGAUCCAGGCAAACAAUUUUGCAAACCACCCAGCGUUUCUGUGUUUUCAAAGUGAAGUUGAUCAUCCUUUCCACCAGCCCAUCUUUAGGCUAGGCAACUGUACUCAAGAUGUGGGUCAAGAAGUGCUUUUACAUCCUUGAGUCAGAUGUGACUGCAUGUGUGCAAGCAAUAGAGAGAUUAGUGAGGAAAAAAUUAAUAGCUGGGGGAGAAAAAGAC